rnacentral:rRNA from 1 species
AUGUUGCCAGGCGGGUAAGUCGCCGGGGACUCGUAGGAGACUGCCGGGGUCAACUCGGAGGAAGGUGGGGAUGACGUCAAGUCAUCAUGCCCCUUAUGUCCAGGGCUUCACACAUGCUACAAUGGCCAGUACAGAGGGCUGCGAAGCCGCAAGGUGGAGCGAAUCCCUUAAAGCUGGUCUCAGUUCGGAUUGGGGUCUGCAACUCGACCCCAUGAAGUCGGAGUCGCUAGUAAUCGCAGAUCAGCAACGCUGCGGUGAAUACGUUCCCGGGCCUUGUACACACCGCCCGUCACGUCAUGAAAGUCGGUAACACCCGAAGCCAGUGGCCUAACCUUUUGGAGGGAGCUGUCGAAGGUGGGAUCGGCGAUUGGGACGAAGUCGUAACAAGGUAGCCGUACCGGAAGGUGCGGCUGGAUCACCUCCUUUAUG